UGACCACUUCAAUAGCAUUUAGGUGAGAGUAUCAAAAGUCAAAAUGUUUUGCUUUAUUGUUUAUGUAUUAAGAGGUCUGUAUGAUUGUGUCUAAUUUUUGGACAAUAUUAAUAUCCUUUAGACAAAGAGCUCUAAUGUAGCGUGACUUUUACUCAAUGUUAUUAAUAUAGAAAAAAUAUCAAUACUCCGUAACAUAUUAUUUAGGUUUGCACAGGAUGACAGAUAAACGUUAAUAUCUUUUUAUGACGUAAUUAGUUCUAGCAAGAAUUAGAGUCUCGUUUAUUCAAUGAAAUUUUUGGCAUUUAUUUUUUUAAAAAAAUUAAAAUGUUCAAGUGCUUACAAUAAUACAUGAUUAAAAUUCAGCAAUAUGUUAAUUUUCAAAUUACAGAACACAAAGCUUUUCGUAACAUGAAUCGGAAAUCCAUUUCAUUGCGUAACAGACUCCUUUUAAUUGCAGUAUUCUAAUAAAUCGUUGAAAGGAAUUCCGAGUAUCUCGAUGGUUUUGAAGCCAAUUGGACAAACACAAGUAUUUCCAGGAAACAAACAUCCUUUUGACUUGAGUUCUAGAGGCACACACAAACUGGGACUCUUUCCGUACUUAAUCAUCAUUUCUUCUUUCCCACGCCGCCCUCUACAAGAAUAUCUCUGAUUACGUGGCCACUUGUCCAUAUUCAGAACAAUACUGUAAGAUUUUGACACUGUAUGGCAGAGCAACCAGGGAGAUGAUUUAAUGCAGAAGAUCAAUGGUGAUAAUUAAUCCCAAAGUCACAAUGGUGAAUUAAUUUUCUUGAUAAGACGGAAAAGGCAGUUCUUGGGGAUUCCUUCAAAGUCACAAGCACAUCAUGUGAAUGUUCUUUGGGAAACUACUAGUAUGCCUGCCAUCAUGUUGCGUCAGCACUGCUAUAUGGGUACAAAUGUGUCAGCCAGACAGAUAUAAAGUUUGGGUGGCUGAAGAACCCAAAAACCUUAACUAAAGACACUUUAAGACAGAGAUCAAAACAAUAGAAGAAUUGUUUUCCUCUGCACGUCCAGA